rnacentral:tRNA from 1 species
UGCAUCAGCCGGGAAUCGAACCCGGGGGGCCAGCGUGGCAAGCGAGCAUUCUACCACUGAACCACCGAUGC